AGCAGUAUCUUUUUUAACUGCAGAGGAAUAAAACCUAAAUAUUAGGAACUCAAAAAGAUAAGAGGGAAUAAAGCAGACCCAACAACUUCCUCCACCUAAAACACAAUUUUCUCCCCAAGGCAGGCCAUAUGCAAAUUUACAAAUUAUAUUUGUUCCAAUAUCCAAACUUGGAUAUGGAUCAAAGGAGGACUUGUUGAACAAAUUGCAGAAGUUCGUGUUUUGGAUCAUACUUUGUUUGUUUAGCUG
rnacentral:misc_RNA from 1 species